GGUGGUUCUCGGGUGACACGCCCCGGAAUCAGGCUCCCUCCUCUCUGGUUCUGGGUGCAUUACCUGAGAACCGCA
rfam:Myotis lucifugus cont2.19260, whole genome shotgun sequence.